ACACCUUAUAGCAAAAAUCUCACUAAAAACAAAAACGAACAAAAAAACCCCCAGCCUUCCUAUGCAUUUCUGGGACCUGGCCUACAACUUGCCCUCUCCCAAGCCCUCUGCGCAUUAGAAACAUUCUGUGAAAUCGCCUUCCUCAUGCACGCCAGCAGGAGCCAGCCCCUCACCGCCGAGCCGAGCUUCCUGUUCCCAGCAUUUCCUACUUGGUCCCGGGGCCUGCGCUGUGCCCAUACAUACACGCGUGUAGCUUGUGUUCAGUGGGUGUGCGAGGAACAUCCCUUCAAAAGCGGCACAGCUAGGGUGGCUCUGCUCUCUUCCGUAUAGUCCUGUUGCACCCAACUGCCUCUGGUCCUCCUCGGAGCUUUCCCCAAAGCAGGCCCUGGCUCCCGGCAGCCCCUCCCACACAUGGGAUUCGUUGGUGAGGCCAGAGGGGUCAGCCAUGCGGAGUCAGACGCUGGACCACAGCAGCCAGUCAUCAGUGGCCCCCUCUGGCCCAGCCCUGGUGAGCGGUGGACCACCCCUCCCUGCCUACUCGGCCGGUUCCCUCCCAGACGUGGACAGCACACCUGCCCAUCGACUCGGGUGUCUGACCUCAGGGCACUGGGGGGAUGAACAGCCCCAUCUGUGGGAGCCUGUCAUCGUGGGACGGGGGGCCCCAUCCAAAUAGCAAGUGGAAAGUCCUCAGAUGUCGGAGGGAGCUCAGCGAAGAGGGAGGACAGAGCACAAGACCCUCAGGAGCCAGUGUCACCCCUGCAGGCCCCGUGUCACCACCGCGUCUCCAUCCCUGCCUCUGCUGGUUGAGGCUCACCCCGUCCCCGCCCAGCACUCCUCGCCCUGUGCCACCCAGAGCUCAGCCCCCUGCGUGAGCGGAAGGUACUGCUCUCCCCCCACGGCUCCCUGGCCCACAUCCAGGCCACUGUCGGCAAAGCUCUCACUCAUGCGGGUUUUUUUCUCCGAGGUGCUCAUCAAUCCACAAGUUCUCAUUAGGGAUGUAAAGAAGUCUGAGCAACGCCUUCCUGGAACCAGAUCUUCUGAGUUUCUGCAAUCUCUAAGGUCCACCUCUUCCUUCCUCUCCCACCCCCAUUGCUUUGUUUUUAAAAUCAUCGUGUUGAAAAAACAUCUUGAUUGGCAGAUGGGGCAGAGCGACAGGGUAUGCUGCAGACUCUGGGCUGGUGGCCGGGCCCAAGGCCGGGCCUCCCCUUCCAGCUCUCAGAAUGGCUGGCCUGCGGGGCUGAGAGUCGGGUUCCCCUCCCUCCUCCCAGCAGCCCGGGACGUGGACUUGACCUGUCGUGGACAGCCGGUGGUAGACGCUGCGUGUCACCUCUCGUAGUUUGUGAGGAUCCUGGUAGUCCAGUCUAGGACAGCGGAGUGACCUGGCGGGCUGGCUUUCUGGCCACUCAGAGCCGUGCUUCCUUGCGCUGCCAUUUAUGCUACACAGAGCCCCGUGGCCCGGCAGCAAGGAGGGCGGCUCUCGCACACAGACCCACUGGCAUCUCUGCCUGACUCUGUCACCGCUGCCCCUGCCUCGGCAACCACACGGCAUGGACCAGAUGGGCACGGAGCUUCUCUCAGAUGUGCCCAGCCCUGCCGGAGCCCCUGCCUCCCUCCGCUGCUAAACUCACUCAGGCCUCAGUGGGCAGUGGAGAGGAGCCCAGAGGCUGAAGGUUGGGGCAGAGGCAUAGCCAGUACCUCCCAACUCCAGCCCGUAUGCCAGAGACGCUGCCCAGGACUUGCAGCGGGGCGCUCUGAUGACAAGCCAGAAGUUGUCACUGCUUUGGCACUGUUUGCUGCAGGCCUCGCUGGUGGUCACCAAAACUGCAGCCUCUUAAGUGGACAGCCACACAGACCAGGGUUUCCUCCCUCCUGUCUCUGAGAAGGCAAAGGCAGGCAGCAUUUGAGAGUCUCGAGGAAGACGGCAGGUAAGGGGCUCCCUCGUUGUACCUCAGCUCCACGCCGCCUCCAGCCGAACGUCCCGAGGGGUCGUGCUCAGGCCGAGUGUCGGCGGUGCAGUGGACACGGCGUCCCUCCGGGAGCUGGUUACAGAGUCCGACCCACCAUUUUGGUUUCUCCUUUCGUCUGAGCCCUGGCCCAGAACUGCACUUCAUGGCCAGCAAGGUAGGGUCAGCGGGCAGACCGAGGAGACGGCAUAGAACAGCCUGGUCUGGCCUCCCCGGACUUGCCUGGAAAUGUCUCCCCAGCACGGCCUUCACUGCUGGGGCAGCAACAGGCCAUGAAACCGUCCUCUGGCCCUCAUUGGAUGGAGAGCUACACCUCGCAGGUGGAGGUCUGCACACACACGCCCGCCUAGAGCACCCCCUUACUCUGGCUCUAAGAACCGGACAGUGUGUUCUGGGUUUGUUUGUUUGUUUUUCUCCCUUUAUUAUAUUUUUGCUUUUGAGAUAUAAACCACACAGAAAACAUCCACUCCUGUGAUUUUAAAGUGCAUUUCUCCAUUAGCUUUGUGUACAAAAAUAAUUAUUAAAACAUGCAGAAAUGUCUUGAGGCACUUUCAGGCACUCGGUAAGGCUGGGACCUCAGCUCUGCGCUCACAUGGACAUGGAGGAUGCUCCCCGAGUCCUCAUGGGCCAGCGUCUCCAGGAAUGGUCCCCAGCUUUGCAGCUGGGACUGUGUGGUCGCAGGAAAGCUACCUCUCGACCAGUGAGUCUCACACUUCAGAACACGAGAUAAAGCGGCCACGCUGUCUGCGGGUGACUAGAAGGCUCCCGUCACAUAACUCAGCUCCCAGCUCAGCACCGAGUGCAGCGAGCCAGAGCCUAGAGCCAUCGAGCAAGUUUCAGAGAGGAACACAUGGAGCUGACCCAGCCUACAGCCCUAGAAGGGCACUUGGGGAAAACCACGUCUGGCUCCAGGGCACAGAUUCCACAUGGCAUCUGCUAGAUAACAAGGAAUGCUCAUUUUCAAAAAGGAAGUGAUGAGCACAGGUCAAAACCACGGGGCACUCUAGCAGAAUUCACAUCUUUAAAACAUCUUUUUCUCACAUUGGGCGUGUGUGCAUGUGUGCCCAAGAUCCCGCAAGGAGAAUGGAGAAGGGAUUG